rnacentral:rRNA from 1 species
GCUCGCCAGAGAAUUACAAGCAAACGCUUAAAACCCAAAGGACUUGACGGUAUCCCAUAUCGACCUAGAGGAGCCUGUCCCAUAAUCGAUACCCCCCGCUAAACCUCACCCCUCCUUGCAAUCCAGCCUAUAUACCGCCGUCGCCAGCCAGCCUGCUGACAGACUAUAGCUGACACAAACGUUAAACACAAAAACGUCAGGUCAAGGUGUAGCUCACGUAGGGGUAGGAGAUGGGCUACAUUUCCUACAAUAGGCAUCACCAAAAGCACAUGAAAUAAGAACUACAAAGGUGGAUUUAGUAGUAAGCAUGGAUAAGACAUGCCAUCCUGAA